UACGAAGGGGGCUAGCGUUGCUCGGAAUCACUGGGCGUAAAGCGCACGUAGGCGGAUCUUUAAGUCAGGGGUGAAAUCCCAAGGCUCAACCUUGGAACUGCCUUUGAUACUGGGGAUCUCGAGUCCGGAAGAGGUGAGUGGAACUGCGAGUGUAGAGGUGAAAUUCGUAGAUAUUCGGAAGAACACCAGUGGCGAAGGCGGCUCACUGGACCGGUACUGACGCUGAGGUGCGAAAGCGUGGGGAGCAAACAGG
rnacentral:rRNA from 1 species